rnacentral:rRNA from 1 species
CCUACGGGGGGCUGCAGUGGGGAAUAUUGGACAAUGGGGGGAACCCUGAUCCAGCCAUGCCGCGUGUGUGAAGAAGGCCCUCGGGUUGUAAAGCACUUUCAGUGAGGAAGAACGCCUGGUGGUUAAUACCCAUCAGGAAAGACAUCACUCACAGAAGAAGCACCGGCUAACUCCGUGCCAGCAGCCGCGGUAAUACGGAGGGGGCGAGCGUUAAUCGGAAUUACUGGGCGUAAAGCGCGCGUAGGUGGCUUGAUAAGCCGGUUGUGAAAGCCCCGGGCUCAACCUGGGAACGGCAUCCGGAACUGUCAAGCUAGAGUGCAGGAGAGGAAGGUAGAAUUCCCGGUGUAGCGGUGAAAUGCGUAGAGAUCGGGAGGAAUACCAGUGGCGAAGGCGGCCUUCUGGACUGACACUGACACUGAGGUGCGAAAGCGUGGGUAGCAAACAGGAUUAGAUACCCGUGUAGUC